AACUUUAUGCUUGAUGUAGAAAAGCUUAAUUCUCAUCAAACUGAACUACUUCACGUUCAUGAUCAUAAUCAAAAAUACUUUCUUGUUAUCUCCUAAUUUUCCAUGAUUCGAAUUGCCUUUAAAUUGCCUACAGUCGAUACUUAUUUCUUUAACUAAAUGAAAAUAAGUAAAUUUAAUUGAAACACAAGUCCCCCAAAAAUUGGAGUAUUUGUACAGAACAAAAUAUACACAUGAACAAUGUCAUGUAUGCAACAAACAAUUGUGCUAAAGAUUGACGACUGGACUUUAAAAAAUAGAAAGAAUGCAUACACAGCCAUAUCGAUUACCCGAAAGUUAGAGUUCACGAGGAGAUUAAGAGUAUUAACCCAAGUAAUUACCGCAAGCAUAAAUUAUACAUAAUCCCAAAAAAUCAAACAUCUGAUACCACUUGUUGGAAUUAAUUUAAUAAUUUAAUCAUAUAACAUGCUCUCAAUAACAAAGAUUAAAACCAUAAUCUUACUUCAGUGCGGAAGACAAAUAAACAUAGGAGCAUGUAUCUUUAAACAGGAUCUACGACAUGUUGAUUUAUCAAGAUUAUAGUAAUAG
rnacentral:lncRNA from 1 species